rnacentral:lncRNA from 10 species
UUAGUGGCAAGGGGCUCCAAUGCCUGUAGACUGCUGGAGUGGCCGUUUGUCCCCUGGAGGCCUGGCGUGUGUCUCCCUCCUCCUGUCAUCUCAGCUGCUUGCCUGACUUUAGCAAAGCCACUGGCCCCCUUCUCCAGGACUUUUCUCAUGGAGCUGCUGAGGAAGGUGACCUCUGGGGUGAUGGUACUGUGUGCUCAGGCCAUCAGGUGGCUUCUCGCUUCUGGGGUGACAGUGCUAGAAGGGUGUGUUCAGGCCAUCAGAAGGUGGCCUCUUGCUUCUGGGGUGACAGUGCUAAAUGGGUGUGUUCAUAGGUGGCCUCUUCUGGGAUGACAGUGCUAGAAGAGUGUGCUUGGGCCAUCACAAGCUGCCUGCCCCAGCACAUGGAAGAUGCCCACCUACAACCAAAGUGAACACGCAGAGGGGAGUGAGGCAAGCUGGGAUCCAGUUAGCCUGCGAUGAAGUCUACCCCUCUUCCCACUUGCAUGUGCCAGUGAGCCAAGAUAGCUCUAUUGCACUCCAGCCUGGGCAACAAGAGCAAAACUCUGUAUUAAAAAAAAAAAAGUACAGUCUAAAAAAAAUGUACAGUCUGGGCCAUGUGUGGUGGCUCACGUGUGUCAUCCCAGCACUUUGGGAGGCCAAGAGGGGAGGAUUGCUUGAGGCCAGGAGGUCAAGGCUGCAGUGAGCUAUGAUUUCGCCGCUGCACUUUGGCCUGGAUGACAAAGCCAGACUCUGUCUCUAAAUGAACAAAUAAAAAAAUAAAGAGUUAGCAGAGAAGCCAGAGUUCUGCCCAAUUUUCCAUUCAAGGGCAAGGAUGAUCACCUUCCACAAACACAUUUAAAAGGACAAUAGGAGACGAAAACACAUUUGUUUUGAGCACACCCCAUGUGUCAGCAGUUAACAGAGGUCAUGAUGGAAUGGAUAUGUUAAGAACUAAAUACCAAAAAUAAGUACAAUGGAAAUAGCUCUUAAUGAAUGUGAGGCAUUUACCGAGUGCUCGCUGUGGGCAAACCACUGCCUGGGAAUAGAAAUAGUGAUAUCAUGUAGCUUCUGACCCCCUGGGGCUGGCAACCUAAAGAAAGGACACAAACUUGAUACACUCUGGCCUGAGAUGGGCCAGGGUGACAGCUGUCAGUCAAGCUCCAAGCCUCUCACGAAGGAACGUGCUGGCCGCAAGUGUGUGCCCUGGCAAGGAGUGGAACGCAGCCAGGGAAUGCGCUAGCUCAGACUUCUUUCGACUGUUUAUUUUCUGUCCUGCUAUUUUCAAGUAUGCUAUGUUUGUGUUUACUUUAUCACUUGCUAUUGUUUCAUAAAUAGAAGGCCAAUUUCUGAUUCUUAUAAACAGGAUUUUUUUGCAAGCUCAUGAACAAGAUGAAACUAAAAACUUCCGGAGGCUCAGAGUAGCUGUGACAAGGUCAUUGUUAGCCAGCCUCAACAUUUUUGAGAUGCAACUUAUUUUUAAAUCCAAACAACGUAGAUUGUGGGGAGAGGAAUCAGGGAAGAAUAGAUACUUAUGGAGGUCCCAUCUUCCUACAGGAGUUUGGCUACAUCUGUUGACCAAUGUUCAUCUAGUAGAAGCAAGAAAGAGGUGUGGGCACCCCCUUGUUCUCCAGUCACCUUGCCUGAGCGCCACCCCCAUUCUCCCUCCUC